GACUCUGUGGCCUAAUGGAUAAGGCGUCUGACUUCGAAUCAGAAAGAUUGCGGGUCCGAGUCCCGUCGGGGUCG